GUGAAAUCUUUGUAUUAUCCACGUCCGUCUGUCCGUCUGUCCGUAACCACAACUCCUCCGGCAAUAUAGCAGCUAGAAUGACAAAUGAGGUGUCAAAUGAAAGCUGAUAAUCCAAGGAUGGUACUAAAGGUGAGAUAUUUGACCUUGGCGGUCUGUCCGUCGGUCUGUACGACCGCGAAUAUAACUCCUCCAUCAUUAUACCAGGUAGAAUGACAAAUGAGGUGUCAAAUGAAAGCUGAUAAUCCUAGGAUUGUACUAAAGGUGAGAUAUUUGACCUAGGCGGUCUGUACGUCGGUCCCUCCGACCGCGAAUAUAACUCCUCCGUCAUUAUACCAGGUAGAAUGACAAAUGAGGUGUCAAAUGAAAGCUGAUAAUCCAAGGAUGGUACUAAAGGUGAGAUAUUUGACCUUGGCGGUCUGUCCGUCGGUCUGUACGACCGCGAAUAUAACUCCUCCAUCAUUAUACCAGGUAGAAUGACAAAUGAGGUGUCAAAUGAAAGCUGAUAAUCCAAGGAUGGUACUUAAGGUGAGAUAUUUAACUUAGGCGGUCUGUACGUCGGUCCCUCCGACCGCGAAUAUAACUCCUCCAUCGUUAUACCAGCUUAAAUGAUAAAUGAGGUGUCAAAUGAAAGCUUAUAAUCCAAGGAUGGUACUAAAGGUGAGAUAUUUGACCUAGGCUGUCUUUCCGUCGGUCCGUACGACCGCGAAUAUAACUUCUCCGUCAUUAUACCAGGUAGAAUGACAAAUGAGGUG